UACGAAGGGGGCUAGCGUUGCUCGGAAUCACUGGGCGUAAAGCGCACGUAGGCGGCUUUCUAAGUCGGGGGUGAAAUCCUGGAGCUCAACUCCAGAACUGCCUUCGAUACUGGAGAGCUCGAGUCCGGGAGAGGUGAGUGGAACUGCGAGUGUAGAGGUGAAAUUCGUAGAUAUUCGCAAGAACACCAGUGGCGAAGGCG
rnacentral:rRNA from 1 species